GGAAGCCGGCCCAGCAGGUUCUCAGAUCUGCACUUUCUUCCUCUCUCGGUGUUUGCAUCUUCCUGGUACCCUCAAAUCCAAAACGAGUCAUCUCUGCAGCAAAUCAGGUCAUUUCCUGCACCACGCUGACUGUGAAGGCUUCGAGGGCUCCAGUUUGGGGACACCCGGACCUGGAUUAGAAGAAGCACCCUUGGGUCUCAUUUUCUUCCAUGGAUCCUCAAUUCCGUAAUCCUGGGGGUUGUGCUGCACCUUGCCAUCUGGAGCGGAGCCUGGAGAGGAGGCGGUAGUGCGGAUGGGAAGGUGGCGGCUGUGCUGCUGGCCUCCUGAGAGAGCAGCCCCACAAAGGAGGGAAGAGAGGCUGCUGGAAACUCGAACCUCAGGGGCAUAGAGCUUGCUGGCCUGGCUCCUGCCUCUGCCCUGGGCUGCGGUGGGACAGUCCCUGCCUGCUGCUUCCUUGGGGGACCAGGAGCAACAGCACGGCCCCCAGGAGCCCCCAGGAGGGGAGGGCCAGGAUGUCAGGCAUCACAGACAGGAAACAAGAGAGGAGGGGCUUCCUGCCCUUCCCCACCACACGCCCAUCCCAAGGCUGUGGCCUAGAGGAGCUUGGAGACUCCUAAGGAAGAAGCUCACGGACUCAGAGAUCAGACACCCAAGGGUGUCACUCCAUUAGAGCACGGAUGGGACAGCAUAAAGCCCAAGGCAGAACUAGAGGGACAGAUAGGUGAAACAGGACGGCCAAGAAACUGAGGCAAGGAGCCGAGUGCCCCAGGGCUGGAGCUUGGGGGGUGCAGCCCUUCGUUGGGAUGCGCAAGGCCUGGGUUCCAUCCCCAGCACCGGAAGGCAGCACGGAGCAAGAACAAGAGAUCAACGAGCCGCCUGGAAAUGGGGGAAGAGUACAGAGGGGCAGCAAACGCAGCGGAAGAGCGGACCCGUAAGGGA
rnacentral:lncRNA from 1 species